rnacentral:rRNA from 1 species
GACAGCAGUCGCCGCGGUAAUACGAAGGGGGCUAGCGUUGUUCGGAUUUACUGGGCGUAAAGGGCGCGUAGGCGGACUGAUAAGUCAGGGGUGAAAUCCCAAGGCUCAACCUUGGAACUGCCUUUGAUACUGUUUGUCUUGAGUUCGAGAGAGGUAAGUGGAACUGCGAGUGUAGAGGUGAAAUUCGUAGAUAUUCGCAAGAACACCAGUGGCGAAGGCGGCUUACUGGCUCGAAACUGACGCUGAGGCGCGAAAGCGUGGGGAGCAAACAGGAUUAGAUACCCGAGUAGUCCCUGUCUCUUAUAC